UUCACUGAUAUGGAAUCAGAAGAUACUGUUAACCUGAAUGAUGAUAACUGCACUGAUGUUAUUAUGGGAGUCACUGUUGGUACCAAAUCAAAUGAAGACUUCAAAUCGAAGGUUCCUUCUGAGUCCAUGGAUGAUAAUGUCAUCAACCCCUUUG